rnacentral:lncRNA from 1 species
GUCUUGAACCUAGGAUCGAAUCAAUAAGAAUUUGAAGUGUAUAAAUAUGACAAAAAAAUUAAAAAAAACGAGUAUAGUAUAGCACAUGUCCAUAGGUGAACUAGCCUUGAACUUAAGAUUUUAAAUCAAUAAAUUUUUAAAACUAAAGAGAACUAAGUCUUGAUCUUUAAGAAUUUAAAGCGUAUAAAAUAAUAUUCAUACCAUACUUAAUUUAUGAUCUUCACAGGCAACACAUUAUUGGCCUUGCGUUGAUUUUUCUUAGCAAGUUCUCUAGGAUUUUACCGAUAACUUAUAGGAAGCAGCCCUUACUUCCCUACUUGCAAAGGCAGACUCAUCAGUUUCACAAUUGCUCUAUCACCCCCACAAAAGCUAUGAAUUCUGUUAAGAAUAAAAUUCAACCUUUUUGUUAUGAAAAUUUUAAUUAACUAGAUAUAAGACUUUAAAAGAAUAGACUUAUCUCCAGUAUUCCAAAAAUAAACAGUGCAUUGAAAAUGUAACCUCGUGUUAGCAUUUCUUGGAUAAUAAUUGACUAAGUUUCUUUGAACUAUAAACAAAUAAUUUUCAGAUUUUUCUGACAUCAAUUAGUUAGAGUAAAUUACAGUCCAAAUUUCUACAAUUAAUCGGCAAUAGUUCCAUAUCUCUCAUGAUUUUAUUUAUUGUAUCACCACUUAGUGGUUUUGUCAAUGUAGUGGCUUUGUCAAUGGAUAUACACGCAUUUGAUCAGUAAAUAAAUAUUCAAUUGCAACUUUACCUUUUUUCAUAAGUUAUCAGAUAUGAUUAUAUCUUAUAAAAAUGUGUUUGUUAUUACUAGAUAUCCUUCCAUUCUUGGUAUUAUGAAUUGCAGCUUGAUUAUCACAAUACAUAACGACGUUUUUAUUGUUAAAAAUACGAUGUCAUUUUUUAUAAUUCACAAAACGACGUCAUUUUAAAAUGACGUAGUUUUAUCACACUUUAAGUUCACUUCAUCCAAUAUCACUACAGAGGAUCUGAACUCGUUUUGUCCAUUCUUGUGCGGUUGAAUGUUAUUUCACACACAAAAAAAUGAUUUUGAUUGUUUAGCGAAAGCUUGAGUUUUAUGCUAAGUCACAAGAUCUUUGAAGGCUUUCCAGGUGGUGUCCGGAAAGAGAUGAGAUAUCAAUGGGACUCUUAAAAAGAGGGAGAAAGAGAAUAAACGGAGAUUGGCUUAAUUUUGUUUUUAAAGAUUUUUUAAUUGAUUUAGUAUUUGAGUUUUUUCAAUGAUUUUUUUUAUCAUUUAAUUAAAAUUUUAUAUUUUUUUUAAUUUUUCUUGAUGAAAAUAAUCUAUACAUUUUAAAAUUUUAUUUAAAUUUAGAAAAAUAACUCUAAUGAAAACAAAAAGAAUUGCCAAUUUCUAGAGUAAAAAUAAUUAGUUUUCUCUUUAAUGAAUAAUUUUUUAUAGUAGAUGUUAAUUUUUAUAUUGUCACACUUCUUUCGAUAAACAAAACUGAAACAUUACAAAAUCUUAAUUAAUGUUAAAAAAAUUUAUUAAAAAAAAAAAAAUUAAAAAUCAAAACAGUUAAAAAAUCUAAAAAAACAAUAAAAAUGAGGCUAAAGUGUGCUUUAAUAGACUACAUUGCCUAUACAAUAGACUCAAGUACAAAAGUAUAAAACUAGUUAAGUUUCCAAAAUUAACUUUUACAAUUGGGAGAAUUUCACUGACCUCUCCGAGGUUUCUAAUAAUUUCACUGACCCUCCUUAUAGUUUUAGAAACACAGUUGCCUGCGUUUAUUUUUAAAAAUAAUAUCAAGAUUUCCAUCCCAUUCUAUUAUGUCAACUUCAUUCAUAGAUUUUUUUGGUGUAAUCCAAUUUUGACCAAAAAAUAAUAAGGAUAUCCCUCAUUUGUUUUGUGCUACCUAUUCACCCGCUAUAAAAUAACCCAAGCACUAUAUAUUUUUUCUCAAUAUAUCAAUUAAAAUAGAUAGAAUUUUUAUUGUUUCUCAAAAAAAUUCUAUUUAUUCAUAUAAAUUUCUUAUCAAUAACUAUUUUUUUUAUAAAAAUAAUAUAAAUAAUUUUUUUUAAGUACUCAUAAUCUAAACAUACUUAAAAAAUAAUUUUUGUUACAAAAUUUAACAAAAUUAUUAUUAAAAAAAUGAUAAUUUAUUUUUUUCUUUAAACACUACUAUUUAUUCACAAAUUAUCUGAAUUUAAUUUUUUAUUAGUAAUGCUUUAAAAAAAUAAUCUAAAUAGUUUAAUUUUUCAAGUUACGGUAAUCUAAUGUACUUAAAAAUGUACUUUAUCAUUGAAUUUAACAUUAUCAUUACCCCAAAAUUGGUCAUGUAUUACUAGUUUUUUUAGUAUUUAUUACAAAAAAUGAUAAAUUAAAAAAUAAUAUUAGUUACAAGAAAAAUUAAAUGAAUAGUGGUAUUCUGAGAAAAAAAAAUAAUAUCUAUCUAUUUUAAUAACUGUAUUGAGAAAAAAUAUGAAAGUCUUGAAUAUAAAUGCAAUCUUGUUAUUACUGUCAAAAAAUUAAGGCUAUAGUGAG